AGGACGAACGCUGGCGGCGUGCUUAACACAUGCAAGUCGAGCGGUAAGGCCUUUCGGGGUACACGAGCGGCGAACGGGUGAGUAACACGUGGGUGAUCUGCCCUGCACUUCGGGAUAAGCCUGGGAAACUGGGUCUAAUACCGGAUAUGACCUCCUAUCGCAUGGUGGGUGGUGGAAAGAUUUAUCGGUGCAGGAUGGGCCCGCGGCCUAUCAGCUUUGUUGGGUGGGUAAUGGCCUACCAAGGGCGACGGUACGGGUAGCCGACGUGAGGAGGGUGACCGCCACACGUGGGACUGACGACACCGGCCCAGACCUCCGUACGGGAGGCAGCGAGGUGGGAAUAUU
rnacentral:rRNA from 1 species